UUGAAGCAGAUUGUCAUCCACCUUUUACAAGUAAUGUGGUUCAAUAUUACACACCAGCUAGCUGGGCAGUUCGAUAGGGUACGCAACAGCUAACUGGAGAGUUUGAUUGGCUUUUACCCUAUGUUCAGAAACUGCUUGAUCAUCUCCUGUUCAAGAUGGGUCCUACUAGAAUGAAGAUUCAAGAGGUGAUCUUCAUCUAAGCAUCCCAGGCCUAGAGAACCAAGAGGAAGUCCUGCAUUAGGUGGUUCUGGGUUUGGUCCUCGGAUACCGUCUCCGGGGAUUAGCUAUGUUAAGGUUUAAAGCUAUUUAAUGGGUUGAAAGUGUAGUUAGGCCAUUGGAGAUACCAAAACAGCUAUCAAACUUUUUGAUAUGU